GUGGGUGCGCAGUGCGGCUAGUGCGACUGCAAGACAGAGGACGUUUGACGAGAUUCCCGUGAGACGAAUAGACGCGAGUCUGUACGCGGGGAAGCCUCGACUCCAAGAAGAAGCUGAACAGAAGUGUCUCCGUGUGUUCAGCUGGUGGUGAUUGAGGCCAUCAUCAGAAAAGAAAGCGAGCCCCAAGGUCGUUAACGUCGCAGCUGCAGGCAUGGGACGCAAGAAGAAGAAGCAGUCAAGGCCCUGGUGCUGGUAUUGCAACAGAGAAUUUGAUGACGAAAAGAUUUUGAUCCAGCAUCAAAAAGCAAAACACUUCAAAUGUCACAUCUGUCAUAAGAAGCUUUAUACGGGUCCAGGCUUGAGCAUACAUUGUAUGCAGGUUCACAAAGAGACAAUAGAUAAAGUUCCAAACUCACUCCCAAAUCGCAGUAAUAUAGAAAUAGAAAUCUAUGGUAUGGAAGGAAUUCCAGCUAAUGACUUGAAGGAGCAUGAAAGACAGAGGAAUGGAGGCCGACCAGGUUCUCCAAGCUCUGGCGAAGAUGAACCAGCGCCAAAGAAGAAUAAACCAGAGGGUUUAUUAGGUUCGGCUCCUGGAGCAUUAGGUAGUUCAAACAUGAUGUCACAUGGAAUGCAAGGACAUCAUGGAAUGUCCAUGGGUCAAUAUCCCCCAUCUAUGCAUCAUAUGAUGGGACCCAUGGGAUACAUGAAUCCUGGUAUGGUACCAGGAAUGCACGGUAUGCCGCCUGGUAUGCCGCCAGUAAGUGGAGCAUCAGGUCCACCUAGGCCAUUAUUCCCAGCCACAGCAGUUUCUUCUGCUACCUCGACAUCAUCAUCGACGCCGCUUGGCACCGAUUUCAAGCCUAUUACGUCUAUAGCCGGAGGUUCGAUAGGACCUGUAAAACCAACGUUUCCCGCUUAUGGCAGUAUCGAUAAUGGUACCUCAACGACUUCUACCUCUAGUGAUUCUAAAGUGAAUAUGAUAGCUACAACAGGAGCAUCUAGUAAAAUAAUUCAUCCUCCAGAAGAUCUCAGUCUGAUGGAUACUCUUGAGGAAAUCCGAGCGAGAUUACCAAAGUACCAACGUAAAAACUCUGAGGAGACUCGCUCGGCUCAGCAAGAGGCGGCUCAGCACGCAGCUCAGCACGCGGCUGCUAUGCAACACCACCAUCAGCAGCAGCAGCAACAACAACAGCAGCAACAGCAGCAACAGCAACAACAGCAGCAACAGCAGCAGCAGGCUGCGGCAGCUUCGGCCGUGGCCGCAUUCCAAGACCAACAGCAACGACAGCAGGCAGCUUUGAGCGCGUUGCAACAGCAGCAACAACAACGCUACCCGAGGCCACAAGUAAUAGGAAUGCCCCAAGUCUCGGCGGCGAUGCCCGUCAGCUCCGUAGCGCUCAUGGCGCCGCUGAUGCGGCCAACCAUGACCCUCGCGGCGCCAGCGCUCCUUCACGGAGGUAACAUGAUGCGACCGCCCCCAAUGGGCUUGCCACCAGGUAAGUCUCCAGGAUUUUCUUCUCAAGCUCGAUUCUCUCGCUCUCUCACUAUCGAUCUGCCCGACAUCCCACUUGUCCUUGACACCAGAUAUUUCUCUUUUAUUUUAUAAAUAUUAUACAUAUAUUAUCUUUUUCACUUACGUGAUAUUUAUUAUCUAUAUAUCUAUAUAUAUAUAUUUUUUGAAAAUUUGUUUGAAUCUCGUUUUUAAAUAAUUUUUUCAUUCUAUACAUACAGAAAGUUUUUUCUUGUGUAUUAUACAAUUUCUAUAUAUGGCUAGGUUGUACUUUUUUUUGUUAAAUUUGUGUUAGCUCAUAUAUCUACAGACAAGCGAAGUAUAUACUUUCCCGAACACCCCGCCCUUCUCUCACCUUACACCCAUUAAACAGAAGCGCGGCACAAUGAGCCUUGUUUGCCUUGCUUUAUGGGACGCUUGCUAUUGGAGUUCCAACCGACAAUAGAACCGUUCGUAAAAUUUUAUGGGCUCAAUUAUUUUUUAAACUGUUAACUGAAAUAGAAAUAAUUGUUACUCUCACUUAUAAGACUUUAGUAGAAUUCUUCACUGUCAAUUUUACAGUAUUUUAGAUUUGAAACUUCUGAAGAAUCUAUAACUUAUUUUUUAAAUAUUUAAUAAUAAUCUUCCAGAAACAACAAUGAAACAUGUAUUUCCAAUUUUUACGAAGUUUACGAAAUAUUUCGUAUCUCUGAAAGAUUUUAGAAGUUUAACGCGUGUAAGGGAAGGGAAUGGAAGGGACAAGGACAAGACAUUUAAAUGACGAUACCACUUGACUUUUAUUCUCACUACUAGUCUGAAAAAGGACGAAAAUAGAUCACGCGAUUGAACUAAACACGAUUCUUUUUGAAUGAAAGAACGCACGUACGCUAGGGACUCAUCCGUUUUAUUUCUCUUAUGAUUGAAAAUUAGAGAUUGACUUGUACAGAUAAAAUUGAAAAAUCGACUGUCUCUCACACAGCGUCCUGCUGAAACAGUUUUUACGUUUUUAACGGUGCGUUUGCAGGGCGCCCUGUCACUCCUCGAUGAGUGUCGAACCGAACCCCAGUCUCUGGUUACUAAAACCCGUGUUUUAGACAAGUGCAACAAGGUUGGUCCUUAGCAACUAGCAUGCGGUGAAAUGGCCUAUGUAUAUCUCAUUAUAAAUAUUAUAUUACUAUUAUUAUUAUCAUCAUCAUUACCCAUUACUUCUACGCCACCAUCGCAUCGUAACCAUCAUUAUGCUGUUUUGUUUAUUAAUAUUGUUCAUUACCACCAUCAUUAUAACCAUCCGCCAUCAUUUCUAACACUCAUUUUUCUUUUAAUUAUGCAAAGCAAUAAUGUCGUGCGGCCAAUCUUAUUUUAUUUUUAAGAAAGAAUUAAAAUUGUUUUGCUUUGAAUAUUCUUGGUUGCUCGACCAUCGCGUAAUUUUCUUUCUGCUGUACUUUAUUUUUCAUUUGUAUUAACCUUUAUUUUUCACUCAUUUACCAUUUACGUUUACUACUCAUUUGUCUUGAAAAAUCGGUCGCUCACCCCCUCAUCCAAACGCGUAAAGUUUACCUUUUACUUUUGUUCCCUUAACGCUGCAGUUUUCUCCUGUAUUUCUCUGUUCUAUAUCUUUAUCUUUCUCUUUCUUACAUUAACUGGUAGCUUGAAAUUCCUGGUGUUGUGAUAAAGUAGUGAUGAGCGCUUUUUUGGGCACGGUACAGCUCCAUAUAUUGAUUAAAAAAAAACUGUCUUUGAUUUUUUUUUCACUUUUUUUGGUACAAUCGACUGUUUUUUGCUCUUGAAUCUUCGUUCGGAGAAUUGAUGCACAUUUUUCAUGAAAUUGACCGUCUUCCGCUGUAUUUAUCUCAAGUUUGUUUGUUGGAUUCUUACUAUGAGUAUAUGGCACUUUGAACACAUACACACUUUUGAGUAUAUAUAGAUACAGCGGUAACCUCCCCUUAUCCGGCGACUUAUGUGUGUAUCCGAGAGCGUAAUAGCGAAGGGACUUGGCAAGUAAAUUAUAAAGAAUUACUGUUAUCUGUUAAAGUCAUAUGUAGAACUUUUUAUUACGUAUAUAUGCUUUUUAUGUUGUAAUCACCAAUUUAUUUCUUGGUCUCUUACGACCGUAUUACCAUCAGGAUUAUUGCAUUGUGGCUAAUCAUGUGACUUGGCACGACGGCAAUCGGAUGCGAAAGGGUGAUUAUUCCUUGUCAAUCAUAUAAGUUUUUUACAAUGUGUCACUCGAAGUAUAGGUCGGUUUCAAUGAGCAGUUUUGUAAGUAGAUUUUUUCUUUUGCUUUAAAUAAGUAUACUUAUUAAUUUUAAUUCAAUUAAAAUUAUAAGAAUUGCGAAUAUUCCUUAGGAUGUAGACUGAUUUUUUUUGUUUUGUUGUCGAAGGGAUAACGCCUCCUAGAGAAGCAAUAAAUGUAGAAAGCUUUGUUUAACGACUAAUACUAAUAUUAAUGACAAUGAGAGUAGUUUAUUUAACAGCAUAUUUAUUAUACACAUCUUGCGAAAUAUAUAAGCUGGCCUCACUAAUUUUCAUGCUUGUGUCGCCGAAAGAAAAGAAAAGCUUAGAUGUUAAUAUAAAAAAUUCUAUAUAACGCACGGUACGUUUCGUGAAAAGAUCUGCAACAAGAACGAACUCAAUAAUCUAUCUGUAAUAUUAUAUACGUAACUCAUACUCACGCACGCUAUAUAUUAAAGUUUUACAUAUAUACAUAUAUACAUAUAAAUAUAAAUAUGAAUAUAGCCCAUAUAUAGCUUUUAUGUAACAUGAAAGAUUUUUAGAUAAGUCGAGCCGAACGACAGUAAGUAAACGAAUUCACGUAACAAGUAUAUUUACCUAGACUUAUUUUUAAUUAUUACUCAUUUUUAUUUUAGUUUACUUGUACUAUACUCGUCAUUAACACUAACCGGUUGGGAAAACUACUACUACUACUACUGUUUUAUUUUUUUUUCUGUUAUUUUUACUGUCAUAAUGCUGUUAUUUAUUUAUAUAUACUAUACGUGUUUCUGUUACGUACGCGCUGACUUUGUGCACAGCAUAAUCGGGGCGAGCUCCACGGGAGGCUAAGCGGUGCCACUGCUUCGACCCGAGUCUGCACUCGAAAAAUCCAAGGGGAGAAAGAGAGAAGUUGAAGCUCAGACCUUUUACUCGUCUCAUUUCUUUCACGGAAUAAGCAAAAGCGAAACAGCCACGUUCAAGCGAAUUUUCGGAUGCUACAUACUUUUGUUUUCGCAAGCCGCAAAAGGCGAUUAUUAAAUUUUCCAGCGUGCGACCUAGUACUUUCCGAGACUCUCGUCCACAUGCAAAUUAUACCUCCUUCUCUCAUCCCCUUUCCGCUCGUAUACUGAACUUUGGCAUAGCUUGGCUUCUGGCGACCUCGACACGUCUCGUGCUCGGUCUCUAUGACUUUAGAAGUUUUGUUUUCUAGUACACAUAUAUUUUGUGAGAGGGUAAAUAUGAGCGAUAGAUGGGAAGUUCGGAAGAUGCUCCGGGUGACAGCCGAUCCGAGAAUCACAGACGAUAUAGUUCAUGGGGGUGACGAGGGGUCGCACAGAAAAGUGACUCCUGAUCACCUUUUAUUUGCUAUUUUGUGUGUGGUAUAUAGCACCUUUUACUUCUUCGUUUGAAUUUUUUUUUCUUGUAUGCUUUUCAGUGUUCAAAUAUAUAUAUAUAUAUAUAUAUAUAUAUAUAUAUAUAUAUAUAUAUAUAUAUAUAAAACACAUAUCAGAGCAUUGCGAUUCCGAUUUGCACAGAUGCAUGCGUUUCUUUGGUUACACGCAGUCACAGACUUCGUUGUUAAUCUUUGGUUUUAAGCAGAUUGAGUUGUGCAGUGCAGUAGUUUGGUGCUGAUGUAUUAUCACGUUUUUUUCACUUGAUCUCGUUUAACAAUAUUACUGCUAUAAGGCAUUAAAUAAUUCUAAGUUCGACUAUUGUAUGGUAUGAAGUUCUCAAUGUUUUUCUCGGUGUACCCCUAGACUGACCUUCACUUUCUUCAACUUCUCAUAAAAACCGUAGACGUUUGCAUCCACGUAGCCAUCAGAAUCACUGUUAUAACAUUGAUCCUCAGUAUCUAUUUCAAAUUACUAACAUAAAAUUGAUCUACUGUUUGACUAAGACUAUACUUAGGUGCGGACAUAAUGAGAGUAUCUGAUUUUCAGUUUCUUUUUUUGCGCUCUUUGGGAAUUUAAUUUACAUACUGACACGCCCCGUAGAACUUUACAUACACACAUCUACGCAACUAUUAUUAAUUUAUCACCUGUGGCGGUUCGCAUUGAGAUAUCAGGUCUGGGUAUUCGCUGCCUAGCUUUAUUAUGCGAUAACGAUGGUUUCAGAAUGCGUCAAAGUUACGACUUUUUUUUUACAAAUGUGAAAACAAGCAUGAAAAAUGCAAAUCAGGACUUAUUGAAUUUAUAGUUCUCUCGCAGAAAAUUAUGAACGAACUAAAAAGAUUACUCGCAUGAACUGCGUAUUAAAACGUACUUCUGUAUGAAAAAGAAAAGUUAAUACACGGAUUACAAUUUUGUUCGACAGCGAGUAUCGCAGAGCCUUUUAUUAUGCAUUGUCGAGUAAAGCUAAAAGUAAAACACAAUCACACGCUUCGCUUUGACACACAAACCUAUAUAUAAUUACAUUUUCGAAUAAACGUGCAGUAUAACGUAAUAUAGACAACACACACUGUCGGCUGUCACCCGAGUUCCUUUCCAUGAAAUGCGUCGACGCAUCUUCAAAACGACUCCGCACGUAUAAGAGAAGAGCCUCUGGUCGUUUUGUCAAUGCGAUCGCGCGACGUAAGUACAAACCUUGAAUUCAGAACCAAAAAGAAACACAAAAUUACACACAUGCGUGCAAGGUAUUGUUGUCAAUUGAAGAGGGUGUGAAGUGUCGACGUUGCCCCACGUCAGUAUCCCCCCUUAUUAUUAUUAUCGACGUUAUAUAUACACUGUUUUACUUUUUACGUUUUUAUAUUGAUACGUUGUUCGCUGUGCGCUGUCUUUCGCUUGUUUAUCGUUUUGUACUUUUAUCUAUUGAUGUCAGAGUUCGUGUCACUUUUGUUAGUCAUCGCAUCUAUAUUGCACUGAGUAUGUACGUAUGACUCAUACAUGACUAACGAAGGCCGUAUAUAAUUGAUGCUCGUAGAUCAUUGCAAUACGGAAGACAAGCGACGAUGCACAGCGUCAAAAUCUUGAAAAUGUUUUCCCAAUGGAUAUCCAAAGAAUCUCUCAACAUUCACACCCCCUUGUGUUAUAUAUAAAUCACCGCCUAUGCGAGAGAGGUUUAACGACCAGAUAAUGUCGCAUUAUAAUCCGAGCGGAGCUCCGAAGGUAUGUUGGGAGCAGCCCUGCCACCGGGUGCAAUGCAUCCGGCGUUCGCCGCCCCAAUGGGCUUCCCUGGUGGGCCGAUGCUGGCGCCGAUGAUGCAUCCGCGUUUCAGAUGAUCGCCUCCGAUCGCGGACGGGCCCUCGACCGCGCCGUCGUUGCACUUCGUGCUCUGGGCUCGACCCUGAACACGACGGAAUGGGAGAGCAGGUCCCGAGAGACACACGUACGCACCCAGCCAAGAUCCGACACGUCGAUAUAUGCAUUAUAUCUAUAUCAAGCAAUCAGUGGUGAACGAUUAAUCGAUCAAUCGAUCGUCAAUUAUUGUGACCAGAAGAACCUACGACGACUGUGACCACCACCACCACCACCACCACCACUACUACCCGGACACAUCUCUCACUUACUCAUUUCUCUGUCUUUGUUUCUCUCUCUCUCUAAACAACCCAUCCGUCUGUCUCCCUUGACGCGGCCUCGGACUCUUUUCCUUGUACCUUAUUCCUCUCACGCGGAGGGAGAGUGCGCGACGAGCUGGUGGGACAACACUGUGUUGUAAUAUUCGAUCAAGAGCGAGAAAGAGACACGGAGAAAGGACGACCCGUCGUGUCCAGCGAGAGUAUUUUGUCGAGAGUUUUUCGGGGGUCAAGGACGUAACGCUGUGGGUGAUUUGCGUGUGAAAAGUCUUCCCGGAAGGAUGUAUAGCCGCGUUGGGUUGACCGAAAUUUCAUUUGAGUGGCUGUGCUGUGGCUAAAUUUGACGGUGCCAAUCUAACGUUUUUGUCGUUAAUAUCUUGAUGAAAUUAAAUACGCUGUUCGGAUUAUGUAAAAUCAAUUAUUUUCGUUGUUUAUAGAGGCGUUAGUUUUUACUCGAUUGAUGCAAGUUCAGAUAUUAACUGUUAGAUUACAGUUGUGACUAGAGAGUAUUAAAUAAGCAAAGUCAAUUACUUAAGGUACGACACAGAAAAAAUAAUUUUCGAAGAAUCAAUGCUGUAAUCAAUGUAGCAAGAAGUAAUCUUGACGCGAAGAUUGCUGAUGCAAACACGCUUUCCAGUAUUUCAAUUGAUAUUGUCGCUCGUGUGAAUUGGAUAAGUGUCUAUAUAACAGCCAUAAUUUUAAUAUUCGAAAUCUCGCCAAGUAAGCGCACGGUGUUACGAACUAGCUCACCGCAAAAAUUUCGCAAACGCACUCAUUUGCUGGCAUAGCGAGGCGUUCAACUUUCCGUGGUGCAAGAAGAGGGCUUCGAAAAAAACAACACAACACGUAUAAAAAAAGACAGAGUAGUACACACCAUACCACAGACAACCGAGAGAUACUGCUCAGGAGAGCCUGCGCAAAAUAAAGAGACAAUUGAUGUUGAUAACGCGCGAAAGUUAAAAAGAGUGAGAGAGAGAAAGAUAUCGCUCCGUUUGUUAUCUGUGCUUUUAAAAUGCCACCGAGAAUGAGACGCCAACUUACACGUGCCCAACUACAGCUGACAACGCAUUCAACAUACUCAGCAAAUUCAAGAAUCAGAAGUUAGCAAAAUUCUUUGUUUAUUAUAAUAACUAUUCCAUUACAUACUUAAUAAUAUUAACGUUGAUGAUGUGAAUGCAAGAUACUCGAGAAAUCCGAUGAGAGAUUCGUUUGUUCAGUAGAAAUGAUGUCUACAUUUUUUUUGCACAAUAUAGAAUACAAAUAUAAAUUUAAUGAACAUUUUUUAACAUUAUUUUAUUGUAACCAAAUCUAGUUUCUGAACUGACGAAUCGCUUCUCUCAGUAUCUGAGUCUGUAUAGUCUCGGAAGGAUGCAAAAUGUGAGAGACAAGGUGACGCCCCUCUCGCGUUACUGCCAACGGGACAAGUCGCCCACAGCAAGCGGAUUUUUCAUUGGUAGUAACGCGAGCUAGGUCUGUGCUCGCCUCAGGUUAGUUCGUCGAUUAGAUUUUAUUUUUAAAACGCAUUAAAAUUUAUAUGCUUGUACCGAGUUCGUUCAUCGAGCUUUAGAUAUGACAUAGAAACACAUGAUUGAAGGCAGGUCAUCUCGAGGAAUUUUUUAGAGUAUUGAAUUUCUUUAUUUGUAUAUACUUACACUUUUAUUAAAAAAAGUAACUUAUAUAAAUUCGAUAGUAAACGAAUUUGUUGAAAAUAUGAUUAUAAUGGCUAUACUAUUGCAUAAAAGUUGUUGUGUGAUCUAUUUUUUUUAUUUUCUUACUUUCAAGUGCUUUGUGUGAGCACACGACGUUUACGCAUUUUUACUCAGUGUUACAUCAUUGUAUUAUUAUUAUCGUUAUUAUUAUUUCUGAUGUUUUAUUUUAUAAAGAAAGAUCGAGUGUGGAUUUGAAUGUGUAUUUUGACUUUUAUCCGAUAACACUUUAUUUUCGAGCACAAUUAGAAAGUUUCAUCCACUCUUCUUACACUAGAGAUCUACAAACUUCAGGCGAUUGAAAUAUAUAUCUUGAUACCUCAUAGAUCGUUAAAGUAGCAUUUCUCACUCUUCUUUAUUGUCAUUAGCAAAUGACAUAAGCAAAUGUCUUAACAAAGAAAGUAUAAGGUGUCUCAUGUACUUGAAGUAUACUCUUUUAAUCGUAUGAAUAAUAACAAUAAGCCUCGUGAUCUGUUUCGAUGAACCUUCUCGGUGCGAAAAAGCCUUUUCCUUGCAAGGAACAAUUAUUGGGCGGCGCAUGAGUGAGUGGUAAGUACAGAGAGUAUCAGAUUAAAUGUAGAGUAAGAAUAAUUGACUAAAAAAAGUCGAAUGCGAAUUACAUGUGAAACGAGAGUGGUAAAGAAUAAUUUUUAACAAACAGCGGCUCUCAAUACUCGACUCACGCUACUUCAACCGACUCUCCUCUCUAUCUCUCUCUUUUUCUCUUUGGCCUCUUGCCAAGCUUCGAUCGCGCGACCUAUGUUUUCUUAAGUGCCACAGCUUAAAAUAAUUUUGUAAACUGGUUUGGCGGCGAAAUAAGCAACACGUUUGACGUUUCUAUCUAUUUAAAAUCACAGAAUAGUCGACAAUAUGUUUCAACGGUUCAAUCAAUCAUUAUGUAUUAGAAAAUGUGAAAAAUGUACUGCAACAAAAUCUCCAAGGAAUUUCGCAAUCUACGCGUACUAUAGUCCGUGAUCGAGGCUUCUAAUCCUUGUCCUUUCCUGAGUUAAAAUCGCUUUCCUCAUUCUCACUCUCUCCAUCCUGAGCCAUCCAAACUCCGCUCAGGCGUCACUGUUGCUGACCGACGAUACUUUUUUUCUCUCAAAGUAAAGAAAAAUUGUUAUCAGCAAAAACAAUAAAAUAAACCUAAUAAAAGUCCACGCUCUCAACCAACACUUCGAAAGCAAAACAGCGAACCGCGCCGUAAAACGACAUCUGUACGUAUUUAAAGCUACGCAUUGUUUAAUAUGAUAAUAAAUUAUAAGAGCAACUCGCGUCGACGCUUGCGUUUCCCAGCGAGGGCUUAUCUUGUUGUUGCUUCUUUAAACUAUCAUUUUUUUAUAUAUUAAAUGAUAACGAGAUGCGACCAUGCUCUCCGUUGUUGAUAUUGUUAAUUUUUUAAGCAUCCGCGGCUGAACUGUCCAAGCGUCGCUGCGAAGUUACAUUAAUUUUCGAAAUGUAGUUCUUCUGUUACUUAUACUGAGUGUCAUAUGAUUAUCUCGACUGUUUUUCCGAAUAAAGACGUUUUGUGGAAUAAAAGCUCGAACUGGAAAAUCUGGGCCGUGUUGCCCGCCCCUUUGGGACUUCGCUGUAAAUGAUCGUACAUUAUAGUGUCACGUAAUUUUUAAUAAUUUUUGUACCAAUUGCAGUGUCUGUGAUGAUUUUUGUUUUUUUCUUUAAUUUUUUAUAGUAAGAUUUUUGGUGUCAAUACAUGCGUCAUCAUUCAUGCGAAAAUUGCGUUUGAGGUCCAAUGGGGCUGGCAACGAGAGCCACAUAUUGUUUCAACCAAUCACAGCUCUAAUCGCUGUUGGACCUCGUCGGUCCCUUGCCGCAUCAGGCAGGCGAUUGUUUGGUCCUACCGUCUAGGAUUUCGAGGCUAUAGCGAGGUUUAGAGUACUGUUGCAAUUUUUAACAAAAUCGUUAAAAAUUCAUUUCAAAGAUUUAGAUUAAAUUGUGCAUGCUUGAUAAAUGAAAUUGAAAAAGGUGAUUCAUUAAAAUGAGCGUAUGCCUCAAUCAAUAAUGGAUAAUUGUAAAUAAUAAUGUUUUGCAUUAUUAAGUUGACAUCGGAAUGAUUGGUAAUGAAGAGUCAAAUUAGCCUCGUGGUCCGCACAGACGAGUGGCUGGACCGAGAAACAAUAUUAUAACAUGCCAAGUAUUGAUUUGUAAAGCUAAAUUAUAGCGCUGAUAACAUUCACAAUAAACCGAAGUGAAGAACUUUGUAACGCCGCAAAAUCGAGGUAUGAUUUGUCUUUUUUUUGCAACGAAUUAUAUGCCAACUUACAUAUGAAUAUAAUAACAUAAUAAACCAUCUAAUUAAUAAUAUGAUAAACAUGAUGCCGGAAAUAUUUGAUACGUAAAGUGAAAAAGUAGACCACGAAUUAUUUUGAUCGAAUUCGUAUCCAAUUCUACAGCAUUGUUCUUUUCAGCCAAGGGACAUCAAGUGAAAACCAAUCGACGAAGAUUGAAAAGUAAACAAAGUUUUGAGCGAAUAAUUUAGUGUAUUACACUUAAAUGUGUAUUAAUUGACGUGAUGAAUAAAGAAAUGAAUUUGUUACGAGAA